rnacentral:tRNA from 1 species
GCGCCCGUAGCUCAGAUGGAUAGAGCACUAGGUUGCGGUCCUGGGGGUCGCACGUUCGACUCGUGUCGGGCGCA